rnacentral:rRNA from 1 species
CUCUUUAGCUUGGCAUUUGAAUCGGCUUUGCUGUUGCGAAGUAGAGUGGCGGCUUCGGCUG